GACGAACGCUGGCGGCGUGCUUAACACAUGCAAGUCGAACGGAAAGGCCCUGCUUUUGUGGGGUGCUCGAGUGGCGAACGGGUGAGUAACACGUGAGUAACCUGCCCUUGACUUUGGGAUAACUUCAGGUAACUGGGGCUAAUACCGGAUAGGAGCUCCUGCUGCAUGGUGGGGGUUGGAAAGUUUCGGCGGUUGGGGAUGGACUCGCGGCUUAUCAGCUUGUUGGUGGGGUAGUGGCUUACCAAGGCUUUGACGGGUAGCCGGCCUGAGAGGGUGACCGGCCACAUUGGGACUGAGAUACGGCCCAGACUCCUACGGGAGGCAGCAGUGGGAAAUAUUGCACAAUGGGCGGAAGCCUGAUGCAGCAACGCCGCGGUCGGGAUGACGGCCUUCGGGUUGUAAACCGCUUUCGCCUGUGACGAAGCGUGAGUGACGGUAAUGGGUAAAGAAGCACCGGCUAACUACGUG
rnacentral:rRNA from 1 species